rnacentral:rRNA from 1 species
UACGUAGGCAGCGAGCGUUGUUCGGAAUUACUUGGCAUAAAGAGUGCGUAGGCGGUGCUCUAAGUCUGUCGUGAAAUCUCCCGGCUCAACUGGGAGGGUGCGGCGGAAACUGGAGUGCUAGAGUGUGGGAGAGGUAAGCGGAAUUCCUGGUGUAGCGGUGAAAUGCGUAGAUAUCAGGAGGAACACCUGCGGUGUAGACAGCUUACUGGACCACGACUGACGCUGAGACGCGAAAGCGUGGGGAGCAAACAGG